rnacentral:rRNA from 1 species
GCAUGGAAUAAUGAUUAAAUAAAAGAUAAAGUGAUAAUUUUAUUGUUAUAUUUUUAUGAUACAAUAAAAUAAAAUCAAUUGAUUGAAUAGGAACAGUCGGGGAUAUUCGUACUUAUAAGUCAGAGGUGAAAUUCUUGGAUUUUCUAAAGACGAACGAUUGCGAAAGCAUUUAUCAAGGAUGUUUUCAUUAAUCAAGAACGAAAGUUUGGGGAUCGAAGAUGAUUAGAUACCAUCGUAGUCUAAACCAUAAACAAUGCCGAUUCGAGGGUGGUGUGUAGUGUAAAUGUGUGUUUGUAUAUGCUAGUAAAAUAGUAUGUACAUACACACAUAAUUAUAUUAUCCAUACCACCAUCGUAUGCGAAAGCAAAAUUUUUGGGUUCUGGGGGGAGUAUGGUCGCAAGGCUGAAACUUAAAGGAAUUGACGGAAGGGCACCAUAAGUCGUGGAGCCUGCGGCUCAAUUUGACCCAACUCGGGGAAACUUAGCAGGGC